rnacentral:pre_miRNA from 1 species
AAACAGCCCCCUAUGUUUUGAUUCUUUGCCAGUUUUGGACCCCCAGUUCAUUGUUGACUCGGUCAACGCUGACGUGGCACCCUAAGUGAGGUGCCACGUGUCUUUUUUUUUGCCUUGGGGGUCCAAAACUGCCAAAAAAUCAAAACAUAGGAGGCUGUUU